GGCGGCCGCAGCUCCAACCCACGCUCCAAGAAAGAACAGUGGUCCGGGGGAUGAUCAAGGACGAGUCUCCUACCCUGCCCUGAUGGGGGGGGAGGCAGAUCUAGCUCCCCCUCCCGCCUUUCUUUUACAACUUCCAUGCCUAAGACAAAAUGAUCAAGGAACCCAACCCGUACCUUCACAUCCAGACCCUACCGGUUAUCCCAGGCCUGCAUAUCGCAGAGCACGGGUGGGGAAUUGCAGCGUGCACAAAAUCGAAUUAAACGCAGCUCGGUGGU
rnacentral:lncRNA from 1 species